rnacentral:snRNA from 1 species
AGCUUUGUCCAGUGGCAGCAUCGUCUCCUCUGAGGUUUAUCUGAGGCCUGAUUAUUGCGAUCUGAAAAGUUUACCCAAUACUUGACGACUUGAAAUAUAGUUGGCAAUGGCUUUUUUUUUUUCUUUUCUACGGAGAACACGGAAAGAAGAAAAAA